CUCCCUCUCUUCCUCCCUGAUUUCUCCGAUUGAAGCCGCGGCCCCUCGACUCGUGCUCACCGCGAUUUCUCACCGGAGUGGUCACCGGAGCUUGAGGUAGUCCCUCCUCCCUCUUUCUCUCUCCUCUCCCUUCUUUUCCGUGCCUGUGGGCAUGACUGCCGGCGACAGGUGUCGUCGGAUUUCGUCGGAGAAGAAAGCCCCUGUUUCGCCUCUUCUUUUCUCUGAUUUUUAUGGCACCGACGAUCACCGCCGACCGCCGGCCUUGGCCUCUCCGAGCUCGGGAGGGUCG
rnacentral:lncRNA from 1 species